GAUGAACGCUGGCGGCGUGCCUAAUACAUGCAAGUCGAGCGAACAGACGAGGAGCUUGCUCCUCUGACGUUAGCGGCGGACGGGUGAGUAACACGUGGAUAACCUACCUAUAAGACUGGGAUAACUUCGGGAAACCGGAGCUAAUACCGGAUAAUAUAUUGAACCGCAUGGUUCAAUAGUGAAAGACGGUUUUGCUGUCACUUAUAGAUGGAUCCGCGCCGCAUUAGCUAGUUGGUAAGGUAACGGCUUACCAAGGCAACGAUGCGUAGCCGACCUGAGAGGGUGAUCGACCACACUAGAACUGAGACACGGUCCAGACUCCUACGGGAGGCAGCAGUAGGGAAUCUUCCGCAAAGGGCGAAAGCCUAACGGAGCAACGCCGCGUGAGUGAUGAAGGUCUUCGGAUCGUAAAACUCUGUUAUUAGGGAAGAACAAAUGUGUAAGUAACUAUGCACGUCUUGACGGUACCUAAUCAGAAAGCCACGGCUAACUACGUG
rnacentral:rRNA from 1 species